rnacentral:rRNA from 1 species
UGGGGAAUAUUGCACAAUGGAGGAAACUCUGAUGCAGCGACGCCGCGUGAAUGAUGAAGGCCUUCGGGUUGUAAAGUUCUGUCCUUGGGGAAGAUAAUGACGGUACCCAAGGAGGAAGCCCCGGCUAACUACGUGCCAGCAGCCGCGGUAAUACGUAGGGGGCGAGCGUUGUCCGGAAUUAUUGGGCGUAAAGGGUUCGCAGGCGGUCUGAUAAGUCAGAUGUGAAAGGCGUAGGCUCAACCUACGUAAGCAUUUGAAACUGUCAGACUUGAGUUAAGGAGAGGAAAGUGGAAUUCCUAGUGUAGCGGUGAAAUGCGUAGAUAUUAGGAGGAAUACCAGUGGCGAAGGCGACUUUCUGGACUUAUACUGACGCUGAGGAACGAAAGCGUGGGGAGCAAACAG